rnacentral:rRNA from 3 species
UGAGGUCACGGCAAGACGAGCCGUUUAUCAUCACGAUAAUAGGUGCCAAGUGGAAGUGCAGUAAUGUAUGCAGCUGAGGCAUCCUAACAGACCGAGAGAUUUGAAC